rnacentral:rRNA from 1 species
GACGAACGCUGGCGGCGUGCUUAACACAUGCAAGUCGAACGGAGAUUAUUAAUGAAGCUUGCGAUUUAAUAAUCUUAGUGGCGGACGGGUGAGUAACGCGUGGGCAACCUACCCAUAAGAGGGGGAUAACAGCUGGAAACGGCUGCUAAUACCGCAUAAACUUUUUAAGACACAUGUUUUAAAAAGGAAAGGUGGCGCAAGCUAUCGCUUAUGGAUGGGCCCGCGUCUGAUUAGCUAGUUGGUGGGGUAACGGCCUACCAAGGCAACGAUCAGUAGCCGGCCUGAGAGGGUGGACGGCCACACUGGGACUGAGACACGGCCCAGACUCCUACGGGAGGCAGCAGUGGGGAAUAUUGCGCAAUGGGGGAAACCCUGACGCAGCGACGCCGCGUGAGCGAAGAAGGCCUUAGGGUUGUAAAGCUCUGUUCUAUGGGACGAAGUCCUUGACUGUGAAUAAUGGUCAAGGUUGACGGUACCAUAGGAGGAAGCCCCGGCUAACUACGUGCCAGCAGCCGCGGUAAA